UCGGAACACGGUGUUAAGGUUCUGUGCUCAUGAGCAGAACGUCCUGUCAGUCACAGUGCCGCUGUUCCCUCUCCUGAGCUGGUAACCAUCACCUGCUCAUCCUGCAUGAUUUGAUUCUGUCUCUCCGGUGAGUGUUCUGAAUUAAAAGCGUCUGCCGGAUGAGUGAACAUAAAUGCUUACACACGUCAGAUACACACAUGAGCGCCCAGGCCGUGACUGCGUACCGUCGCCACGUUUAGCUGUCAUGACUGUUCAUUACUGUUUAACAGGCCUCACUUGCACCACAUUUCAUCACUCGGAGUGAUGCUGUGCUAUGAAAAUGACAGUGACGAGGAGGUGGGAGUGUCGCACCCACAGGACUGCGCAGUAUUCAAACCGUCUGAAUAAACAGCACACAUCUCACCGAGAUUGUCAUCCAGCUUUUUUUUUUUCCUUCUCCACGUCUGGCUUCUCUGAAUAUCAAAGAUUACGGCCCUUAAGACCGCGGUGAUUGAAAAGGCGCCGACGUCUGCACACGUAGCCGCACACAGAUUUGAUUUAUGCUCCUCUCGUUAUAUAUUCAUGACCGUUUUUCAGACUUCCAUUAGAAAUGAAUGAUUUACCAGAGCUGUGAUUGAAAUCCAUCCCAGACGCCUGAUUUCUUUCACUUGUCGACUACUCGAGAUCAAGAUUGUCGCGCGUAGCAUGAGGGCUCUUUGUUUUUGCUAAUUAAUACAUUUAAAACACAAAUGCUUGCUAUGUUUCAUACAUUCCAUGAAGUAUACCUAUCCAGAAAAAUUGUUAUUUAUUUAUUUAUUUUAAUCUAUCUAUUUCUUUGUUUGUUUGUUUGUUUCCCAUUAGCAAAACUCAUUUGUUUGUUUGUUUGUCUAUUCAGGUUGGUAUUUAUUUGUUUGUUUGUUUGUUUCUCAUCAGCAAAACGAUUAAGGUUGGUAUUUAUUUAUUUAUUUCUCUGUUUGUUUCCCAUUAGCAAAACUAAUUAAAAAUAAUUUAGUUAUUUUUCUUUUUUUGUUACUCAUUUGCAAAAAUGUUCAAUCUAUUUCCUUAUUUAGUUAUUUGUUUGUUUGUUUGUUUGUUUUUCUAUUCAGGUUGGUAUUUAUUUAUUUAUUUGUCUACUCACCUAUUACUUAUUACGUUCCCGUUUGUUUCCUCCCCUCCAGAUCUCAAGACAAAACCAUACAGUUACAGUAAGCGAAAGAUCAGCUCUGGCCGAACGGAUCGCAUCCUACGCCGUGACGCUAUCUUUUUCUUUUUUUCCUGUAUCAUUGUCUGUUAAUAGAAAUUAGCGAGAUAACAGCGGUUUAAUUUUCCCAGCCAUCACCUCGUUGUGGAACAAACCACCCAGAAACUGUUAGUUCAUUAUCGAGCCAUUAUGAACUGAUCAUCUUCUUCGUGUUCGAGGCUCGGCGCAGCCCGGGCUGCUGAUCUGAGCUUCACCACAACAACUUUGUUAUCUGAAGAUAACAAGAAGUCAUUACAGCGAGGAACGAGGACUUGCAGGGAAGUUCCUGAUACAGCACUUUUUGUGCGCUUCAUCCUUGUUGAUUUCUCUGACACUGAAUGAGAAGAGAGAUGGGAUGAAACUGUGAAGCUCAGACCAGGAAGGAGGGAGGAGGAGAUUAAAGAGAGGUUGGCCUCCCGAGUAAAUCAUCGUCUCUCACACGCCGCCUAAAUCAGACAGAAAGACAGCGGCGCGCUUCGUUACCCACAGGAUUAACACAGCAGAAUAUUUACUCAAGCCUGAACUGGACUUCCCUAAAGCCGAACACCAAACACCCAGCUCUGGCCGGAUACGAUCACGACCUACUCCACGAGGAUGCUACAUGCUAGUCUGGUCAUCUGAUGACCUCAAACAGGAAGUGCAGAAAAAAAAAAAACAGAGGAAGGUAAUCCUAGUGCGAUGGUGGCGAGUCACAGAAGGAUGGACAGGAUGGAAAGCGUCAGUCUGUACAGUACAUACAAGUGUCAGGCUAUACGAUCAGAUUUUCUUCUUAGCAAAACUAGAUGAGGAAGAUAGGAGCACAAAUAAUCCCUUAUUUACAGUAUCUUUAGGUUUUCUCAGCUAGCUGGAAAGCAUUAUGUCGGGGUAUAAACACUGAAUGUUAAUAAUCCUCUCUGGAUUUGCUUGAACUAGCUCGAUUUAGAUGGAAUAUAAUUUUCCGCGAGAUUCCUGUCAGACCUGGGUGUAGCCGGAAAUGAAGCGACUAUUUCUAACUAACGUCAUGAUUCGACCUUCCGCCAAAUCAAUAAACAACAAAAUCGAAUGUUUAUUCUCUAAACAGUAACUACACUUAUUACAGAGCACUGACACUGGAGACUCCUCCCCUUAAUGCUACACAUCUUCAGCAUCGGAGUCCCUGCAGAGAUAACGUCACCUAAUCGACACCUUCCGACCAAUCAGAAGGGAGAAUUCGGCAUGGCCGAGGUGUAACGUUCCAGAUCGUGUGUGCCAUGUUUCAUGUGGUGCAUUGUGGGUGGAGAGGAGAAGCAGCAGCAGGCCUUUUCUCCUAACAGUCUAUUCAAACAGAUGGCUCCAUCAUGCACGGAUGGGCUCUGAGCCCUCGGCUGCAAGGCUUUCCACCAGCAUUCAACUCUAUCUAUCUAUCUAUCUAUCUAUCUAUCUAUCUAUCUAUCUAUCUAUCUAUCUAUCUAUCUAUCUAUCCAUCCAUCCAUCCAUCCAUCCAUCCAUCCAUCCAUCCAUCCAUCCAUCCAUCCAUCCAUGUCAAUGUUGCAUUAAGCCAUGGACUGACUGACUGACUGACUGACUGACUGACUGACUAUCUAUCUAUCUUAAAUGCUCAGCUCUUUCUCUCUGCUUCUUGAUGUUUUUCUACACCCUGAGAAAAGAAGUCUACUUUUCCUCUAGCUGUUUGUUUCUAGCUUUAAAGCUACUUCACGUCGACCUUCUCGGCUGUGAAGUUCUCCGCUCCUCGACGAAAAAUCUACAGUUUUGUAUCUUCACAUCUGAGACUGUACACCAAAUCCAAACGGAAACGAGAACGGUUUGGUCCUAUGUACACCAGACCAUGAAGAGACAAAGAGAUGCUGUAUAAUGGCACCGGCAGAGUGGACUCAGUCUGACCCCGGGAACGGGAUGAAGGCUGUUUACUUCACUUAAAAACAACAUCAGCUCCCAGACAACACAACGUCUGAGGCACUGUUUAAUGAGGAAGUCUGCUCAUGGUGGUGUUCAGCAGCCAUUUAUAGCGAUAAAGAGGCAUCAGGUCCAGUCAGGAUAAUGAAGACAACUGAUACUGAAGGAGUUGCUCUGGUGUGCUUUUUGCAUCACCUGAAUUAAAUCCAUAUUCCUCCUUUUAGUCCAUUAACAGUGCAUCACGUCAAAAAUAUGGAAAAAAAGAAUGGGAAGAAAAGUAAGAAAAUUAAAAAAAA